rnacentral:tmRNA from 1 species
GGGGGCGCAUCGGUUUCGACGGGGACGUGGAAGCCGGAGUGGCAGGCCGAGGCGCCGCUGGCCUCGUAAAAAGCGGCAACACAGUAAUUGCCAACAACGAUUACGACUCUGACUUCGCUUAUGCCUACGCGGCGUAAGCAAGUCGCCUGACCGCGCAAAACCGGUCACGCUGUCCGGGAUGACGCCUGAUAUUUCCGGACAGCGGCACUCUGUCAGGCUGGCGAAAACCGGCGUCCGCCGGGGUUAUUCGCAAGAUGUUACGGCGGGCAUGCCCUGUCGCGGCUGAUCAGGGCCAAACGGCAGAGCGAGAAAUCAUUCCUGAUCUAAGCCUGUAGAAGCUUCGCGUGGAAUGCUCUCGGACAGGGGUUCAACUCCCCUCGCCUCCACCA